rnacentral:rRNA from 1 species
GGGUCAGUAGGUUGGUCGUGCCACCGGUACGUACUGGUCUCACUGAUUCCUCCUUCCUGAAGAACCGUAAUGCCGUUAAUUUGGUGUUGCGGGGAAGCAGGACUGUUACUUUGAAAAAAUUAGAGUGUUUAAAGCAAGCUAACGCUUGAAUACAUUAGCAUGGAAUAAUGAAAUAGGACGAUCGAUCCUAUUUUGUUGGCUUCUAGGAUUGACGUA